GACGAACUGUGCAAACGUUGCUCGGAAUCAUUGGGCGUAAAGCGCACGUAGGCGGCCUCAAAAGUCGGAUGUGAAAUCCCGUGGCUCAACCAUGGACGUGCAUUCGAAACUGCGAGGCUUGAGUAUGGAAGAGGGUCGCGGAAUUCCCGGUGUAGAGGUGAAAUUCGUAGAUAUCGGGAGGAACACCAGUGGCGAAGGCGGCGACCUGGGCCAAUACUGACGCUGAGGUGCGAAAGCGUGGGGAGCAAACAGG
rnacentral:rRNA from 1 species